rnacentral:rRNA from 1 species
GACGAACGCUGGCGGCGCGCCUAACACAUGCAAGUCGAACGAGCGAGAGAGAGCUUGCUUUCUUGAGCGAGUGGCGAACGGGUGAGUAACGCGUGAGGAACCUGCCUCAAAGAGGGGGACAACAGUUGGAAACGACUGCUAAUACCGCAUAAGCCCACGACCCGGCAUCGGGUUGAGGGAAAAGGAGCAAUCCGCUUUGAGAUGGCCUCGCGUCCGAUUAGCUAGUUGGUGAGGUAACGGCCCACCAAGGCGACGAUCGGUAGCCGGACUGAGAGGUUGAACGGCCACAUUGAGACUGAGACACGGCCCAGACUCCUACGGGAGGCAGCAGUGGGGAAUAUUGCACAAUGGGGGAAACCCUGAUGCAGCGACGCCGCGUGGAGGAAGAAGGUCGUCGGAUUGUAAACUCCUGUUGUUGAGGAAGAUAAUGACGGUACUCAACAAGGAAGUGACGGCUAACUACGUG